CACCACACUCCCACCUACCAUGAACCCUACUUCUCCUUUCCACCAAUUUUCCAUGGAUGCCACUUCUUCUAUUCCACAACCGAUUGGGACCACCAACAACAUAACCCACGCUACUCGACAACAACAACCAUUCUUCCCCCUUCUUUUUCUCCUAUACGACCUUUGGGCCUUCCACAUAUGAAAAUCAUCAGGCUGAGCUGUUUAAGCUGUGCCAAACCUCCACAGUUGCGGAAUAUCAAAAGCGGUUUGAGAAAAUUUGCAACAGAGUGAUGGGUUUACAUCCCGAGAUGAUCCUUAACUGUUUCUUAUCUGGCCUAAUCCCAGAAAUUCGAAAAUAAAUAAAAGUUUUGCAACCCACUUCCAUCACUCAAGCCACGGGCCUAGCCAAGAUUUUAGAAUCUAAAAUCCAAGAUUCUAAACGAUCUUUCUGUUUUUCCCAUACCUUACCCAAACCAUCCAAUCAUUUAUUACCCUCACCUCGUCCCUCGCCCUUUCCCACUACAACAUCCAAUGCAACCCCUUCCAUACCUAUAAAAAAACUCACAUCAACCCAACUCUAAGAGCGUAGAGUCGUUGGUUUGUGUUAUAACUGUGAUGAAAUUUUUUUUCCAGGACAUAAGUACACAAUCCAUCGUUUUCUUCUUUUACUAAGUGACGAUUGUCCAGAAGAAAACAUUAUGGAAGACUAUCGUACCACCUUCAACGACCAACCCACAGACACACCUACACACAUUCACCUCUCCUUCCAAGCCUUAUGUGGAGCUCCCUCAGCCCACACUUUUUCCUUUGAUGGCUACAUUGGCCAUCUUCCUGUUACCAUUCUCAUAGAUACCGGAAGUUCCCAUAACAUUAUUCAACCUCAUUUGGCCCUUCACCUCCAACUUUGCACUGUUCCAAUCACACCUUUUCAGUUAUGGUUGGAAAUGGCAACAAAAUUUAGUGUUCCUCUUUUUGCCCUGAUGCUCCCGUUUCUAUACAUACUUACACCUUUUCCAUUUCUUUUUACCUCUUACCUAUCGAAGGAGAUGAUGUUGUCUUGGGAAUGGACUGGUUGUGUUCUUUGGGCCCCUUAAUGGUUGAUUUUUCUAAGUCGCAACUAUCUUUUACCCACAAUGGGUUACCCAUUACACUGCAUGGUACCACAAAUCUGCUACGCAGUCAAGCUUCCUUCACUCAUCUUUGCCAUAUGUUACACAUAGAUGCCAUUUCUUCUCUACAUCUCCUCAUUAUUGAUCCACUGCCAUCACCAUCCAGCCCUCACAGAUUAUCCAAACCCUAAGCUAUAUCCCAUCUUUUACAAACAUAUAGUUAAGUUUUCUCUUCUCCCCAUGGACUACCUCCACACAAACCCCACAAUCAUCACAUUUCCCUUAUUCCACACUCUUCCCCAGUUAACAUUAAACCCUACCGCUACCCACAUGCUCACAAGCACACGAUGACCUCCUUCAUUCACGAAAUGCUCAACGAAGGCAUUAUCCGCCUCAGCACAACCCCUUUUCUUCCCCAGUUAUCCUCAUAAAAAAGAGAGAUGACACCUGACGUUUUUGUGUGGAUUAUAGAGGCCUAAAUGCCAUUACUGUUAAAGACCGUUUUCCUAUUCCAACUAUUGAUGAAUUGUUGGAUGAAGUGACCACUGUCAAGGUUUUCACCGAACUUAACCUACAUUCAGGUUACCAUCAAAUUCGAGUUAAUCCUACAGAUUGCCACAAAACCGCUUUUAGAACCUUUGAUGGCCUUUACGAGUUCUUAGUUAUGCCUUUUGGCCUUACUAAUGCACCAUUUACCUUUCAGGCAGCCAUGGAUGAUUUACUCAGGCCCCAUCUACGACACUUUAUCCUAGUUUUUUUUAUGACAUUCUCAUUUACAGCAAAUCCAUGCAAGAACACAUUCACCACCUCACUUUGGUCCUUCAAUUAUUAGACACUCAUAAAUUCUUUGUUAAGGAAUCAAAAUGUGUGUUUGCCACAACCAGAGUCUCAUACCUAGGUCAUCUUUUGGAAGAAGGCAUAGUGGCUCCAGAUCCGGAUAAAAUAAAGGCUAUCAUACUUUGGCCUAAACCUACAUCCCUUACUACCCUACGUGCGUUUCUGGGUAUUACGGGAUUUUAUCGGAAGUUCAUCCGCAGUUAUGCCACUCUUGCCUCGCCACUCACGGAGUUACUCAAAUCAUCAACAUUUACAUGGAAUACAAAUGCAGAGGAAGCCUUUACAAAAUUGAAAAAUAUCCUAACUACAGCUCCGAUGUUGAAUCUUCUGAAUUUCGCCAUACCGUUCGUGGUAGAAAUCGACGCCUCCAACAUAGCAAUUGGAGUUGUGCUACCCUAAUAAGGUCACCCUAUUGCUUUCUUCAGCAAGAAGCUUUGCCCAAAAAUGCAAACUAGCUCAACAUAUGUCAAGGAAAUGCUAGCUAUAACAGAAGCUGUAAAAAAGUGGCGUCAUUAUCUCAUAGGUACACAUUUCACAGUAAUAACAGACCAACAAAGCUUAAAGGGGUUACUCACCAAUGCAUGCCACACACCGGAACAACAAAAGUGGGCUACCAAGCUGCUUGGAUACAGUUUUGACAUUCGAUACCGCCCAGGCCGCCAAAAUCAAGCUGUUGAUUUCUUGUCCUGGCCACCCCAAUCUCUCCUUUUUGCCAUAUCUUCCCCGAUUCCGAACAUGUUAAAGGAAUUACAGGAUUAUUACGAGACGAAAAGGGGAGAAGAAGAGGUUCACAGAUUAAUUUCAUUACCUGACACCAAUUACAGUUUUCACCACGACCUUCUAUACCAUGCUCAAAGAUUAUACGUUCCUUCCAUAGAGCACAUUCGUUCGGCCAUACUCCAUGAGUUCCAUGCUUCUCCCACCGCCAGCCACUCGGGCAUUAAGGCCACCAUGGCCAGGCUCGCGACCUCUUUUUUCUGGCCUGGUAUGUACCAUGACACCAAAAGGUAUAUCAAGGAAUGCUUACCCUGCCAACAAAACAAAUCAUUACAUCAGAAACCUUUUGGACUACUCCAACCCAUACCCAUACCAACCAAACUGUUGAAAGAACUAACUACAGAUUUCAUCACGCACCUACCUUCAUCUUUAGGGCACAUGGUCAUCUAGGUUGUUUGUGACAGACUCUCCAAAUCAGCCCACUUCAUCGCCCUUCCCACAUCCUUCACAGUCACCCAUUUAGCUUACCGCUUUCUAUUGAAAUUUGCAGGUUACAUGGAGUCCCUAAAUCCAUCAUUUCAGACCGUGAUCCAGUGUUCCAGAGCCGUUUUUGGAAGGAGUUGUUUCAUCUACAAGGCACAAAAUUAAAGUUCAGUACAACAUAUCACCCCCAAAUCGACGGUCAAACCGAAGUUAUAAAUCCCUGUUUAGAAGCUUACCUUAGGUGUUUUACCAGCGAAAACCCCCGAACAUGGUAUCGCUAUCUCUACCUUGCGGAGUUUUGGUACAACUCCUUAUACCACUCGACCAUCAAAACUACACCCUUCCAGGCUCUGUAUGGAUGUUCACCUCCUUCCAUUCCAGAUUACGUUCCAAGAACUGUCGCAUAACCAACACUGGACACCACGCUACAGGAUCGUGCACGAAUGCUGCACCAGUUAAAAGCCACGCUGAAAGCAACACAACAAAGAAUGGCGGAAUCAACAAACAGAUCAAGACGUGAUUACAAUAUUAGGGAAAAGGACUGGAUACUGCUCCGACGACAAGCUUAUCGCCAAACAUCACUCUCUUCCAAGACUCACAAUAAGCUUGGACAAAGGUACUUCGGUCCCUAUCCCGUUAAACGCCGCAUCGGUGAAGUGGCAUAUGAACUUUUCCUUCCUCCGUCAUCACAUAUCCAUCCAGUCUUCCACAUCUCCCUUCUCAAAUCUUAUCACGACCCAACCCCACUGUCGCAUUUCCAAUUCCCUCUCGAAACAGAGAACCCAACAGUACCAACCCAUGACCUCCCAACUCUCUUCCCAAACUAUACUUCACAUUCUGAGACUUCCAAUACUCCUUCUAACUCAUUACACACGAACCCAACUAAAGCACCCACAAAAUUCGCAUCUGCAGACACGUGGAAACCAUCUACGAUCCACGCCCCACUUAAACUGCCACCACCCUCUUUUGCAUGUGACCCUACACUUCCCAAAGCCCCACCAACUAUAACCCACGCACCAAAACCACUCCUUUCAACAUCCCAUUCAGCAGCAGCAUCACGUGACAAUCCAAUUUCCAAUGCCAUUCCAGCUGGAAACCACUCAUCGCACCAUGCUCCGUCAAUUUCCCAGCCAGUUGUAAGCCACGCCCAUGACUCUUCCGUUGACCCAACGGUCCUAGACUCGCAUGGUACCAAGGCCACUACACCAAAUCCCAAUGCUUCCACUUCAUUCCAAUCCAAAAAAGUAAUUCCAACUAAUACCACGGACCCCAACCAAAAUCAACAAAUUGUAGCCCAUUCAACCCAUUAUACCACACAACACACAUUCCCUUUCACGACCCAAGAGACCCUAUCCAUUUUGGCAAAUCCAAGUCUCAACCUUGAGGACAAGGUUGUCUCAAAGGAAGAGGCAGUUGAUAGACAUCCCAGGCCCAUUAGAAGCAGAGAAAAACCCAUCAAAUUUAGAGAUUAUGUCUAGAAGCAAUGAGCUGUCUUUUAGUGUAAGAAGAAUAUAAUUCUGUUAUGCUUUAUGCUUUAUGUUUUAUGUUACAUGAGGUACAACUGCCCUUAUAAUGGCCUUCAUGGUUGUAAAAAGGGUAGAGAAUGAUAAUAUAGUUUUAUCCUUAUCUUAGUUAGUUCUUUCCUUAGUUUUUCUCCUUGUGUUCUGAUUCCUAAUCUUUCACAACGUAACAUUUGUGGUGAAAG
rnacentral:lncRNA from 1 species